UAUGCAUCCAAAAAUGUAGGUGUAGCCAAUAAUUCUUGCAUAACAUAUAUUCUACACAUACCUUUUCAUACUUUUAGGUUUUCAUCGAUUUGUCUAUCAAGCAUACAAACAUCCAGAGGGAAAGAAGUUGAAAUUUGACGAACCUUGUCUUCCCAAAGAUCCUAAUGAUCCACGCCGCCAGCACUUCUCAACCAAGAAAUUUGUGGGGAAAUACAAUCUUGGUAAACCGAUUGCCGUAAAUUUCUUUGAGGCUGAGUGGAAGCCGUAUUACGACGAGCACCCAAUGGCCGGAAUCGACGAGGAUUUCAUCUCAGAUCAUAGUGAUGAGGAACAUAAAGGAGAGGAAAAGAAAUAAAAAAAAAAAACCGUAAAUGAA